UCCUUUAGCGUAACAGGGCUGCUGUUCUCCUAGUUCCUUGGUGGAAGGAAGAUGAUUCACAGCGUAGGUGCUUUGCCUUUUAUAAUGCUUGGGAAAGAAUCGCUGUUUGCUCUAGAAUGCGAAAGCAAUCAUUGAUCAAAGCACGGUUGCAAGUCUGAACUCCAAACAGGUGCACCUGAAUUUCUACUGCAGAAUCCAAUCUGGGUCAAUCACUGGGACCCAAGCAGGCCCACUGGCUAUCUAUGGACCUAGUAAAAGAACAUAAUUUUUGUGGUUUUGCAUGUCCUUUUAAAAAAAUCUUUACACAGAGUUCAGAUGGGAUGAAACUCUCUUAAUAAUGAUUAUCUCAAAAGAGACAUCAUUUCAUUCAUAUCUGUGUUAACAAUGGCCCAUUAGCUACAAGGAGAAGCACUGACCUUUAUUGAAAAGGGGUGUAUGUUGAAUUAUUGGUUCGUUAAUUUUAAAAUUAAAAUUUUUGGUUUACUGAAA